rnacentral:rRNA from 1 species
UAUAUCAGUCAUGCAUAGCAUAUCAAUAAGCGGAGGAAAAGAAACUAACAAGGAUUCCCUUAGUAGCGGCGAGUGAAGCGGGAAGAGCUCAAAUUUGAAAUCUUCAAGGUUUUACCUUGACGAAUUGUAGUUUAAAGAAGUGUUUUCUGUUGAAGUUUUGGUAAAGGUUCUUUGGAAUAGGACAUCAUAGAGGGUGAGAAUCCCGUAUUUGACCAUUACUUUCAGCUUUGUGAUACACUUUCAAAGAGUCGGAUUGUUUGGGAAUGCAGUCCAAAAUGGGUGGUAAAUUUCAUCUAAAGCUAAAUAUUGGCGAGAGACCGAUAGCGAACAAGUACCGUGAGGGAAAGAUGAAAAGAACUUUGAAAAGAGAGUUAAACAGUACGUGAAAUUGUCAAAAGGGAAGCGUUUGACACCAGUGUUGUUUUCUCGAAAAUCAAUUAAAAAGAGUUGGAUUUUGUGUUGUAUUGACUUUAUCGGCUUUCUUCACUCUUUUCCAGCUUUUUUUAAUGCACUUUUCGUUUAACAAGUCAACAUCAGUUUCUUUUGUUGUAAAAAGGUCAUUGGAAGGUGGCUUUCUCUUCGGAGAAAGUGUUUAUAGCCUUUGACUCAUGCAAUCGGAGAGACUGAGGUCUGCAGCGUAGAUCCUUCGGGGUUAGAUACAUUUGUGCUAAGUUAUAGCUUUUCAUAGACAACUUGUUGACUAUGUUUAGUCUUGUAGCUUACUCGCUUAUGCUAUUUUACCUACGCUUAGGAUGUUGAACUCUAUCACACACAG